AGUGCGACAGCUGGGUCAAAUGGUGGUUCCAUUCCAAGUUUUCUGAGGAAUCUCCAUACUGCUUUCCAGAGUGAUUGCACCAAUUUGCAGUCCCACCAGCAAU
rnacentral:pre_miRNA from 1 species